CGCUGGCGGCGUGCCUAACACAUGCAAGUCGAACGAGAAAAUUCUGCUUGGCGGGAUGAGUAAAGUGGCGCACGGGUGAGUAACGCGUGGGUAACCUGCCCUUGAAUCGGGGAUAACUUCGCGAAAGCGUAGCUAAUACCGGAUACUGUCCCUAAGGCUAUGGCCCUGGGGAUGAAAGGUGACCUCUUCAUGAAAGUUGCCGUUUGGGGAGGGGCUCGCGUACCAUUAGCUUGUUGGCGGGGUAAUAGCCCACCAAGGCUACGAUGGUUAGCUGGUCUGAGAGGAUGAUCAGCCACACUGGAACUGAAACACGGUCCAGACUCCUACGGGAGGCAGCAGUGAGGAUUUUGCGCAAUGGGGAAACCCUGACGCAGCAACGCCGCGUGAGUGAAGAAGGCUUUCGGGUCGUAAAGCUCUGUCAAAUGGGAAAAAACACUAUCGAUGAAUAGUCGAUAGAAUUGAUGGUACCAUUAGAGGAAGCACCGGCUAACUCCGUGCCAGCAGCCGCGGUAAUACGGAGGGUGCGAGCGUUGUUCGGAAUUAUUGGGCGUAAAGAGCGUGUAGGCGGUUUGGUAAGUCAGAUGUGAAAGCCCUGGGCUCAACCCAGGAAGUGCAUUUGAUACUGCCAUCCUUGAGUAUGGGAGAGGAGAGUGGAAUUCCAGUGUAGAGGUGAAAUUCGUAGUAUUGGGAGACACCGUGCGAGGCACUCUCUGGACCAAACGAGCUGGACGCGAAAGCGUGGGGAGCAAACAGGAUUAGAUACCCUGGUAGUCCACGCCGUAAACGAUGAGAACUAGGUGUAGCGGGUAUUGACCCCUGCUGUGCCGGAGCUAACGCAUUAAGUUCUCCGCCUGGGGAGUACGGCCGCAAGGCUAAAACUCAAAGGAAUUGACGGGGGCCCGCACAAGCGGUGGAGCAUGUGGUUUAAUUCGACGCAACGCGAAGAACCUUACCUGGAUUUGACAUCCUCUGACAGUCCCGGAAACGGGAUCUUUCCGACUUGUCGGAACAGAGUGACAGGUGCUGCAUGGCUGUCGUCAGCUCGUG
rnacentral:rRNA from 1 species